UAAGGAAUAUUGGUCAAUGGAGGCAACUCUGAACCAGCCAUGCCGCGUGUGCGAAGAAGGCGUUCUGCGUCGUAAAGCACUUUUAUAUAAGAAGAAACGCUUCCUGCGGGAAGCUAUGACGGUACUAUAUGAAUAAGGACCGGCUAACUCCGUGCCAGCAGCCGCGGUAAUACGGAGGGUCCGAGCGUUGUCCGGAAUUAUUGGGUUUAAAGGGUACGUAGGCGGAUUAAUAAGUCAGAGCUGAAAUCCUACAGCUUAACUGUAGAACUGGCUUUGAAACUGUUAAUCUUGAGUAUGGUAGAGAUAGGCGGAAUUUAUAAUGUAGCGGCGAAAUGCAUAGAUAUUAUAAA
rnacentral:rRNA from 1 species